GCUGAUAGUAUCAAUUCAGUAUUUGGGCAUCUGACUGUUGUUAAAAUCAAUGGCAGGUAAUGUUUGAGGGUGCUGCCAGGGAGCACAGGAGUGAAGAAUAUUCAAGUGGUUCUCCAAAACUGUGGGCUGAGGUAACUAUGGAGCAUUUAGCCCAAAGAAGUUUAUGCUCCUGAUCUUCAAGCACAUAAACCUAUGUGUUCUGCACUGGUGACAAAAAAGCCACCUUGCCACCACUCGCUCUCCCAGCUACCCCUCCACCACCAUCUGACCAUUGUAGGUGGACAGAGAUGCUGUGUAUCUCUCCUAUGCUGCAGCUGGGGGCAGCUCCGCUCCCCACCCCAAGCUAAAGUUCCUCAAUAGAAGUCUUGGUUUCACUACUCUAAAGGGCUGCCAUACAUCUGUUAUUUUUGUUAUUAUUUGUUAUUCCAUUUCCCCCUGGGUACGGCCCUUUUCUUUUCCCACCUGGAAAUGGUGACUUGGCAGGUUCUAAGUUUUCCUGAGAGCUUCCAGCUGCCUGGUUGUCAGCCUUGACAGCCAGAAAGUGCUACUUCAUUUUGACUGUAUGGUCAUGGGAUAGAUCAGCACAAAAGCUCCUUGUGUGGUGUGUUGAAAUCAUGGUUAUGUUUUGUUUUUCCUUCUGCACUGACUCCAUGGAAGCUGUGUAGUGUACCUAUCUCCGUCACUUCAGGGUGCAAUGGAUGAUCUAGUGUCCUGCAUGUAAGUGCUAAGUUCAGCACUUCCUGCUGUCAGGCACAGAGUGGAUGUUGAGAUAUUGGUCAGUAGCUCUGGGACCAUGUUCAAAGCACAGAGCAUGAAAAACCUCUAGGGUGGGAGUGCAGAUGUCCUACUCAUGUCCUGCUCAGCUACUCGGGCCCAGGCACUCAGCUCUGUUCCUCUGAGUCUCGGUUCACUUGCUUUCAAGGCCAUGUCCCAGACCCAUCUAAUUGUCCCCAGGUUCUCUGCAAGGAACCUGUAUGCCCAGGCACUGGGGUCACAGCAGAAGGGAGCCCACAAGCUGUCAGGGCCUCUCAGGGCUAGACGUGACCACAGGGAGUGGCAAAAUGCCAGAGUUUUGCCAUACGAGCAACAUGCACACACUGCGCUGAGUGUCCCUAGUGAUUGAGGAUGAAAAUUUCCCCAUCCUUGGCUUUCUCCUUUCCUCCACACUGGAGUGCCCAAUUUAUCUUGGAGGCUACAGCUUUGAGUAGCCCUCUCAAAGGUGCCCACCAGUGAGCUGGGUGGUCAAAAAGUCAUUUACGAAAGCCACAUUGUCUGGUUCUGCUCAUAUGCUCUAAGUCCAAGGCUAUUCUUCUUCCUCUUAUCUGAUCACAGUCCCCCAGCUGUGCAGUAUGUGCCACAUAUAAAUCCAGAGAUCAUAAAUAAUUUGCUUUGUUGAAAAGCAACCCAUGGUAUACUCAUUGCCUCUUUCUCUUUCAAUCCGCACUUGCACACAGUGCCCUCCUUGCUCCUCAGUGCUUUCUGCUCCCUUGGCAUGAGCAAGCAUCUUCAUUUUUAUCCCACUUUAGGACCCACUAAUAACUGUCUCACCAGUGCACCAUCAACGCACUGGAGGAGAGCACAGGAGUGGUAAUUCAGGGCUGUGAUGCAGUGGUAUGUUGGAAGGGGAUGCUCAGAUCUCUGUGGCAUGCAUGCCAGCACACUGCUGGCAGCUGUGCACCAUCUACCAAAAGCAAGUAGCCCUGCUGGCAUUUAGCUGUGCUGCUAGUGCUUUAACACAAGGGUAUCAUCACAAAAUGGUGGUUUGCAUGCUUUAGUUGCGGGAAGAUAUAAGUUGUGCUGCAGUUGUUUGCCACUUGAAGCAGGAUGGUGGGCUCGGGUAUACUGGUGUCCCAACUUUUUGCUAAUCUUGCUGUGCUGUUAUCAGUCAUUGGACGUGGCUGAUGGGAGCUCUUGUGAAAAGUCACCUUCGCGCAGUAUGAUCUAGUAACUCAGAAAGUUAUCAUUGUCUGAAGAAAAGAGUUUGAACUGAAGCUUCAGGAGGACUCAAUGGUGAUCAGAACAUCUGGCAAAUAACUGACCAAGUCAUUGAAUUUACUAACUCUCUGCAUCAGGGAAGGAUUUCUUGUGCAGUUUUUCAGCAUUUUGUUGGAACUAGUAAAAUUACUUCCCUCUGGUAAUCUUUUUAGGUGACGAAAACAGUGGGAAGCUUCACUGGACUUUGGAUCAGGCUCUUAGAAAAGACAAUGGUCAUAGUAGCCAUCUGCCCUUAGACUCAGCUUCCCAGCCUACUCACCUCUCUGUUUUUUAUAUAGGAUGUACAUUUCCUUACGCAUGGAGAGCCCUUCAUGAUAGAUGUGGCUAAGGUCUCCCCCUGUAGUGUGACCCAGUCACAUCCCAGCCAUUGCUAAUGGGAAAACUCGGCUCAUUCAGCCCCUCUGGGCAUCUGCCUUGAAUGCUACCCACAUGAGCUUGAAACAUCAGUGGCAUUUGUUUAACGGGGGAACAAAUGCAGGGAUUGACAAAAGUCAUUUUUACCCCUUGUUUCCAAAUGCACAUGCACUGGUGAGUGGGAAACUAGACUGGGGUGGAUUAGCCCCUCUUUGUCUUUGUCCUCAUCCAUAUCCCCUACCUUCCCCUGACUCCCACAGAAAGUUCUCUUUGUUGGCAUGCCAACCAUUGUUUUCUAGCACACUUCUCCUAGAAAUCCCUGCUAAGUGUAUAUUGUUGUCUCCCCAAGAAGAUAUGAGUGCAGCCGCACGCAGUUACAGGCAACGCGUAUAUGCACGGCAACUCAUUAGCCAGGGCUUUUUUCAAAGAAUUUUUAACUUCAUCUUUGUUGUCUCAGCUGAAGGAAAUGACAUAGGAAGGUGCAGAGAAAAUGAAAAGCAUGUAAAAGGUGGAGUGGCUUUGUGCUGCAUUGAGGGAUCUUCUAUGCCUUGCUUGUUAUGUAAAAGCCAUCAGAAGGAGGGGAGAAUAAACGAAAUCAUUUUCUUCUCAGCAUGUGCUGGGACCCAGCACUGCAAAUAAAUGCAUUGUUAGUUGAAAUCAGUGUUUUGGUUUCUCCCUUCCUUUGUGAGAUGCUGUAGAGGAAGCAGAUUAAAGAUUGCCAGCUUUCUGGCAAAAUAUACUGGUGGCAUCAUAAUGACUUCAUUAUGGUCUCUAAAUGAGCUAACAGACUAAUAAUGUGUUCAGGAAAAAAUACACAUUAUGAACAUGCACACAGGUGUAGGGUUAACCCCUUCUUCGGCACCCCUUGCUUUGAAUCCAGCUACUGCAGCUUAAGCCACGGUUCAGUGCUCUAAUAGCUGGGCAGUAAAGGAUUUAAUUCAACAGCUGCAUGCCAACUAAUUGCAGCUGUAUUUUCUUCUGAGUUCAUCUACAAUGCAAACAACAUGGCAGCUGUUUAUUUGUUUGUUUGCUUGGCUGGUGGUGGCUGGGAAUGCUGCUGCUAGGUGGAAAUGCCAGCACAGUGGUGCAGAGGCUCUGUGAGGCCCUGCAACUCAAACCUCCUUUUAUUAAAAAGGCUUUCAGAAGUGGCUUAUAUGACAUAUACCCCUCCUUUGGUUUUCCCUUAUUGCUUUACAUGCUGCAUAAAACACGUUCGCUGGAGGAAAUGGAGAUUCAACAGUAGGCCAAAUCCUUCUGUGCAAACUAAUUCUCUGCUUCCCUCACUGAUGUCUCCUCCACCUCGCCUUCAGCAUCACUGGACCCAGACUCUUACUGUCCUCAUCACAACUCCUGUAGCCCUCCUACCUCCUCAUCUCUGCCUUCACCACUUUCUGCCUCUACUCAUCUGUUGCUUAAGUCUCUGCACCAUUUUCCAUUUCUGGAUUAUGUAAAAAUCUUCCAGAAUGUCCUUAUUAGCCAUAUAUAGCUCUGCAUGUUUUCUCUUGACAUUUUCUGGACGUGAUAGUACGGACAUUAUGGUUACAGAAUGAAAGCAUGGGAGCACAGGAUACACACAAUGAUGUUCUGCACAUGCUCGGCAAAGCCAACAUUUCCAAAGCACAUGGAACUUUUAUUAUGUGUGAAGACCAGCUAUGAAACUCUUGUUCAGGCAUCCCUGACAUGGCUCAGAAAACUGAGGUCUACCUGCCAGACCCAACAUGAACCCAAGUGCUCUGAGACUGUCACCUCAUGCAGCCACAAGAACCUAGAACUCCAGGUCCUAGAGUUGCUCCAGUGCUUCACAUUUUGUUAUACAUGAUGAGUCAAAUGACAGCACUGGGGAGAUCUUACCCUAACUCUGGACAUAUCCUCAUUCUCUGACAGUGGUUUGUUGCCAUUACACUGAAUGCUAUUACUAUCGUCUCCAGGGUUUAAAUGCAUAAAGACUAUGGAGAAACACCAUGGAAUUUCUGGUAAUUUGUUAAAGUGCAUUUAAAGGUAAGAAGAUGUGUUUGACUGAUAAUAUUGGAGACUUUCUUCAUACAGGCAUGUUUUUGCAAUGGCAACACAAGCUUCUCCACAGUCCUUCAGUGUGUUCAACUGACCCAAAGCAAUCCAGAGUACUGCAUUGCCCAUGACCUGAGACAUGAGGCUCUGCCAGAAGAAACCAUUACUCAACUCAGUCACCUGCAAUAGGAUACAUUAUUGUUAUUACCUAGAGGGUAACAGUAUGUGAAGGAGUACAGAGAGCUGUAUAGGACUUGAGGCAAUUAAACUUCAAACUAUUGGCUCUUUUGAACUCCAUCCUUCAGCUCUUUUAGUCAGGAGUAAUUUUCAGGAGUGACCUGGAAUAGUUUUUAUUUGGUAUCUCAGUGGAAUAGUACUCCAUCUCCCAUCAGCAAACACUCUGAAUAAGAAGUUAGCUGUUCCGCACCCAUACAACAAAGAUUUUCAAGCCAAGGUUUCAAUGGAUCUUGCACAUAUUACUUUUUGGAGGAAAAUGUGCUUUAUAUUUUUCACUAGAUGUAAUAGAGUUACAUUUUUUUUAACUCAAGACUUCCUUAGACAAAUCUUUCCUCACCAAAUGUAAAUGACCUAUUGUGAUCUAUUUGAUGGGACUCAGUUGUGACAUUGUCUAAUUCUCAGUGUGGAUUUAUCUAGGAUAGAAAACAUUAGUUGUCCCUGGAGUCUGAAUUUGGUUAACAAUAAACACUCCAUUGAAAUACACCAGAUUUUUUUCAACAGGAAAAAGCCCAAUAAAUUCUCAGCUGUUCAAAAUGUGUAAGAAUGUGUAAGAAAAUGCUGCAUAAAGGUGUUGGUUGAAAACCUAAGUAUUCAGUUAUUAUGCAGAAAGUCAAUCAAGGAUUUUCCACGGGGGACUCUGCUAAGCUCUUUGGCUGGUUUACUGAAUAGUAGUCAAAUAUUUCAGGCCUUGAGCCUUUUCUAAAGUUAUUUUAACAGAUUAAAUCAGAAUAAGGGAAGCUAUUAAUUUUUCAAUCAUAUGAUCUUAUAUUUACUCUUGUAAUCAAAUCACAUUCCCACCCCUUCAGUUUUACUAAAGAAAUGUGAAUCUCAUACUCUGCCUACAGUUCAAAAAAAAAUUAAAUUACAGUGAGUUUACUUUACAUGGAAUUGCUUAAUCAGAAUGCAGAGUUCCACUAAUCGUAUUUAAAUAUAGUCACUAUAAGCCAAACAUUGACCUUAGGUUAAAAGAUUUCUAUGGCUUACUUAAUGGAGACCCAUUUAUAAAGCAUCGUAAAGAAUUCUAAAUCAUGUAGAUGCAGGGCAAAAUGAGACAAUUAGAAAUGCAGCAAUGAACUGCCACAACCAUUGUCAUGCCUUGGAAACGGUAUUUUAAAUUGUGCCAGCUGUAGAGCCACUGUAAAUGUAAUAAAAAUGGUGGGAAAGAAGCAGGAAAAUAAUGAUUUUUGGCUGCAGGACAGUAGAGAUUUCCAGAAGGUAAACAUAAAGUGCAUUCCAUAUGCAUCUCAGGCCUUUAUAUUUCCAACACACUCUUCUGGCCAUCAACACAAGGUAGAUGUGGGAAGGCAAAGAUGCAUGUGUGAAGAUAUCUGCCUGUCUUUGUCUUCUUAAGUUUUCUUCUUGUGGUAGCAGCAGUGUCAGUGACAAUUGUCAAAGGCACAAACAGAUGCUUAGCUGCAUAGCUAUCAAAAAAAUGAGAGGGAAUGACAUGUUUACCUGAUAGUUGUGGCACUGAAAAUCUCCCCAGAAGGCGCUAGCAUAUCAUGGCUACCAUGAUUGUAUCUACCUUUGCUCAUGGUGGGUGUAGCAUCAGUAUAACUUUAACUUUAUGGUAGGUAGGACAGUAGUGAUUGUCAGUACUCACAAUGUAAAGUUGCAGUAAAGGAGGACUCAGAUGAGAUUCUGAUCAGCACGUACAGUGUCCCUGGAUGUGACUGCAAGUGAGCUAACUUGAACUACGUGGACCCAGUACUCUCACAUGGUGUGUUUCUAAUGGUGGCCUUAUUUCCAUUGCUGUUCUUUAUGAUUAUCUGUGCAAGUAUUUCUCUGGACUUCAGUGACAUGCAAUUUGUGACAUGAGUCACUGUGUCAGAAGCAGGGCCUACAUUUUUUUUUUCUUAUCUACUGGAAGGAUACCCAUUACAAUCUUAAAGCUCAUCCAUUAUCACAUGUAGUUUUUACA